UGGGGUAUAGUUCGGUGGUAGAACUUGCCUCGCAUGCACAAGGUCCUGGGUUCAAUCCCCAGCACUUCAA
rnacentral:tRNA from 1 species